AGCAGCCGCGGUAAUUCCAGCUCCAAUAGCGUAUAUUAAAGUUGUUGCAGUUAAAAGCUCGUAGUUGAAUUUCGGGGUUAGUAGGUUGGUCAUGCCUCUGGUAUGUACUGGUCUCACUGAUUCCUCCUUCCUGAUGAACCGUAAUGCCAUUAAUUUGGUGUUGCGGGGAAUUUGGACUGUUACUUUGAAAAAAUUAGAGUGUUUAAAGCAAGCUAACGCUUGAAUACAUUAGCAUGGAAUAAUGAAAUAGGACGUUCGAUCCUAUUUUGUUGGUUUCUAGGAUUGACGUAAUGAUUAAUAGGGAUAGUUGGGGGCAUUAGUAUUCAAUUGUCAGAGGUGAAAUUCUUGGAUUUAUUGAAGACUAACUACUGCGAAAGCAUUUGCCAAGGAUGUUUUCAUUAAUCAAGAACGAAAGUUAGGGGAUCGAAGACGAUCAGAUACCGUCGUAGUCUUAACCAUAAACUAUGCCGACUAGGGAUCGGAUGAUGUUAAUUUUUUAAUGACUCAUUCGGCGCCUUAC
rnacentral:rRNA from 1 species